rnacentral:ncRNA from 2 species
CCCGGCUCGCUGGCGUGGAGCCGGG